GUGCUCAUUUUUUCAGCACAUAUACUAAAAUUAGAACAAUACAGACAAGAUGAGCAUGGCCCCUGCCCGAGGAUGACAUGCAAAUUCAUGAAGCAUUCCAUAUUAAA
rnacentral:snRNA from 1 species